GAUCGAAGUGCUUAUCUAUAGGCCAUAUUAUGGUGCCUUGCAUAGUUUAGUUUGCCUGACAUUUUCUGUUUCCAUCCGUUAGGUUUAUAAACUGGUUGAAGACAUAAAGUCCAAGGGUGGAACUGUCACUCGAGAGCCAGGUCCAGUUAAAGGUGGAUCAUCUGUGAUUGCAUUUGUUAAGGAUCCUGAUGGCUACCUUUUCGAACUAAUUCAACGCGGUCCAACUCCUGAACCACUCUGUCAAGUGAUGCUUCGUGUGGGUGACCUUGAACGUUCUAUCAAAUUUUAUGAAAAGGUGAACUAUUCUUCGUUUUAAAUUCGUGUAAGUUUGGUUUAGGUUUUGAAGCUACCUCUUCAAUUGAUCUAUUUCUGGAGGUCUUAUCUCUGCUCUUCCCAUGUGCAUAAAUAAACGAAAUACCUGCUAUGUGCGUCUCCAAGAAUUAGUGCAUCUAUCAGCCAUUGUGGAUGUCAUGAUAAGACAAAAAUGUUGAAGUCUGUAGAAAAUUGGUUUUUUGAUUACCAGAAGAAUGAAUGUUAUAAGAAAGUUCCACUUUAAUCCUUCAAAAAUAAUGGUAUCAACAGUCUUCUCUUCUGUAACCUUCGACUUCCAUAUAGAUGCUGCAGUGUAAUAUUAAUGUGCAGUCUGGAGCGAUUGGUUCUCUGAAAAUAUGCUGAUAUUUAUCGCUCUUUAUUCACACAGGCAUUGGGGAUGAAACUCUUGAAGAAAACUGACAGACCAGAACAAAAGGUAUCACCAAAUGCAACCACUUUUUCUUUGGACUUCAACCUUUUAUUUUCCUUGGGAAUUUGCUAAUGCAGUGACAACAAACGUUGUUGUACUGUGCAGUACACCAUAGCAAUGAUGGGAUAUGCUGAUGAAUAUAAGACAACUGUCCUUGAGUUGACAUACAAUUAUGGUGUGACUGAAUAUACCAAAGGAAAUGCGUAUGCACAGGUUUGUUAUAUGCUUGUGAAAAUUCUUCAGUUUUUAUCAUUCAACUCUGGCCUCAUGGUGGAUGUAAUAAUAUUUCUAGGUUGCAAUCAGUACUGAGGAUGUAUAUAAAAGUGCCGAGGUUGUGAAUCUUGUAACCCAAGAGCUUGGAGGAAAGAUAACUCGGCAACCAGGACCACUUCCUGGACUGAACACUAAGAUCACUUCUUUCCUAGAUCCAGAUGGUUGGAAAACAGUAAGUUCUCACUUCUCAGGGAUUCAUAC
rnacentral:lncRNA from 1 species